UAACCUCUACAGGCUGACUGGUCCCCAGGCUGGGCUGGGCAAGUAUCUCUUUGAAAGUCUCACCCUUAGGCAGGACUGGGAGC
rnacentral:pre_miRNA from 1 species